rnacentral:rRNA from 1 species
AUAAGGUUAAGUUAAUAAGGGCGCACGGUGGAUGCCUUGGCACUAGGAGCCGAAGAAGGACGUGACAAACGACGAUAUGCCUUGGGUAGCUGUAAGUAAGCGAUGAUCCAGGGAUUUCCGAAUGGGGGAACCCAACAGGUA